ACAUCCUCCUGUCCCGCGGGGGUGGGGGACCGCUUGCCCUCCUGGGUCUCGGGCUUCCCAGCUGGAAAUUGGGAAGAAGGCAGGGGCAACAAGCAGGAUAAAGACCACUGCGGACCCAGGGAGGGGCCCUGGACAGCCUUGUCUCCCCCUCCCACAGCAGGGGUGUGGCUGGGGUCUCUCCCCCAUGUGGGUGAUAUGGGGACGGGAGUGGGGAGAGUGGCAGUCAGACAACAGCCCAUCAUCGACCUCACAAGGGCCAGCCUCUUCCCGGCCAGCAGAGAAAGGCCCCUUUGUUGGCGCUGGGCACACUGUCCCUGCACCCUCCAGCCAGACGGGCGGGGUGACACCAGCUGGUCCACGGGGGUGUCCAGGCCAAGCUAAAGGCCCAAACACCUUCCAACCAGCUCCUGCCAAAUUCUGCUGUCGCCUCUUGGAGGCAGCACAGUCCAACCCUGAAGCCCCGGGCCAUGUCACCUCCAAGGGAGCGACCACUGGCGUGGCCAGAGCACCCAGGCCCUUGCCAUCCCUGGUCGGAGGGUGGCGCUGACCCCAGAUAGGCACAAGGCAGCGACCGGGCAGCUCCUGCCUCUUCCCGAUUACAGCGGGCAAGCCGGCCCCGCCGCCGCACGGACCCAGCAGAAAACGGGCAGCGGACCUCGCUCCGGACCAGGGCGCAGCCCGCAUGGCAGGGAGGCGCAUGGCGCAGGCCGCGGUGCGCCGAGCCCUCCCGUUCCCUGUCCUGGGCUUCUUAGUGUCUGGCUCGGCCCUGCCGGAAAGAGCGCGCGGUGGCCGGGGCCAUCCACCGCGCGGGGCCCCCUGGUCCCAAACUUACCGGAAAGGGCCGUGCCUCGGUCCCCCACGUCUCAAACAUCCCACCUGUCUCGGGCCCCCCAUGUCCCAGACUCACCC
rnacentral:lncRNA from 1 species